AAAAUUAAGACCAGGCUGUACCCUGAGGUAGUUUAGAAGGCUAAACUCCUAUAACUUAGUCUUGGGAGGUCUCAAGGCUUAGCCAGCUCAAAUUUUCCAUUUCUCCAAUAGAAGUUCUCUUAUGAACUCUGAAGAAAUUGCAGCAUUUCUUUUGCUUUUAAAUCUAUCUACUUCUCCAUGAUUUUAGGAAUACCCACUGGAGUUUCUUCUAAUGUAGUGAUUAAUUCUGGUAAAUUCAAUAUAAUACAAUUUAAUUUAAUAAAAUCCAGGGAAGUGGGGUGGAUGGGGAAAGCGGAGAAGUUCAUCAAAGAGUACAAAGUUUCAGUUAGACAGGAAAAAUAAGCUUUAGUGAUUUAUUGCAUAGAAUAAUGACUGUAUUAAAUAAUAAUGCAUUGUAUAUUUUAUUUUGUUUUGUUAUUUAUUAUUUUUGAGACAGAGUCUCACAAUGUUGUCUAGGCUGGUGUCAAACACCUAGGCUCAAGCGAUCCUCUGGCCCCAUCCUCUUGAGUAGCUGGGACUACAGGCAUGUACCACCAUACCACACCAUUUGUAUAUUUUAAAAUUGCUUGUGUACGAUGCUCACGAUCUGGCUGACAGGAUCAUUCAUACCCCAAACCUCAGCAUCACACAAUAUACCCAUAUAGCAAGCCUGCACAUAUACCCCAUUAAUCUAAAGUAAAAGUUAAAAAUACUUUUUCAAAAUAACAAAAUAAAUAAAUAAAAUUGCUAAAAGAGUGGUGCAUGCCUGUAAUCCCAGCUACUCAGGAGGCUGAGGCAACAGAAUCACUUGAACCCAGCAGGUUGUGGUGAGCCAAGAUCAUGCCAUUGCACUCCAGCCCUCACAGGAAGAGCUUCUCUUUCAAGAUGUGUAGCUGCCCGAUGGGUUCUUCCUGCCCACUGCACAAAAAAAUCAGUUCAUGGAGACCAUGGCACUGCAGUAAAGAAAGAGGUUAAUUGACAUGAUGCCAGCCACACCAUGUGGGAGGCAGAGUUAUUACUCAAAUCAAACUCAUCUAAGGCUUGGAGGUUAGGGAUUUUUCAAAGGUAAUUUGGUAGGUAGCAGGCUAGGGUAUGGGGAGUGCUGAUUGGUUGGGUCAGAGAUGAAAUCAUAGGGUGUCGAAGCUGUCCUCUUUCUCUGAGUCGCUUCUGGGUGGGGACACAGAAGCCGUUGGCUGGUCCCGGUGGAGCCAUCGGUCAUCAGACAUGCAAAAUCCUGAGAAGAUAUCUCAGAAGGCCAAUCCUAGGUUCUACAAAAGUAACAUUAUCUGCAGGGGUAACUGAGGAAGUUGCAUAUCUUGUGGCUUCUGGAAUAACGCCUCACAAUUGUUUUUGUCUACACCUUAGCAGAAUUUAGGCUCCUCUCCUCCUCCUAGCCUGGUGGUCUCUCAGUAUUACAAGGGUGGUUGAGUUUCGGGGAAGGGUUAUUAUAAUUUAAACUAUCAACUAAAUGACUCCCACAUGUAGCUUGGCUUAAACCCAGGAAUAAGUAAAAGCAGCUUGAAAGCUAAAGGCAAGAGGGAGGUUGGCUAGAUCAGCUUUCUUUCACUGCCAUUAUUUUCUCACUGUGAUAAUUUUUGCAAAGGCGGUUUCAGAUGUGAUUGGAUUUUUGGAUACUGUGAACCCUGAAUAUCUGAGA
rnacentral:lncRNA from 10 species